rnacentral:tRNA from 1 species
AUGAUUCAAUCUUUUUUCUUAGAAUUUCUAAAAAAUCAAAAUAUUUAAAUCAAAUAAGAGAUAAGAUAAGUUUUCUAAUUUUAAAUAAAUAAAUUAAAGCUAAAAGUAGAAAACAUA